GAGGGUAUAGCUCAGUGGUAGAGCAUGUGCUUAGCAUGCACGAGGUCCUGGGUCCAAUCCCCAGUACCUCCA
rnacentral:tRNA from 1 species